rnacentral:rRNA from 1 species
UCGAGAAUCUUGGGCAAUGCGCGAAAGCGUGACCCAGCAAUGCCGCGUGCAUGAUGAAGGCCUUCGGGUUGUAAAAUGCUGUCACCCGGGACGAAAAAAAUGACGGUACCGGGGGAGGAAGCCACGGCUAACUACGUGCCAGCAGCCGCGGUAAUACGGAGGGUGCGAGCGUUGUCCGGAUUUAUUGGGUUUAAAGGGUGCGUAGGUGGUUGAGUAAGUCUGGUUUGAAAGUCAGUCGCUUAACGAUUGAGGGUGGCUGGAUACUGCUGAACUUGAAUGCCCUGGAGGUAGGUGGAACGGGUUGUGUAGCGGUGAAAUGCAUAGAUAUGACCCAGAACCCCAAUUGCGAAGGCAGCCUACUACGGGGUGAUUGACACUGAGGCACGAGAGCAUGGGGAGCAAACA